UCCUCAGUCGACGCCGUGAUGUGCAGUACAAGAAGCACGUGCGCUUCCUGCGGAAGGAGAUCCAGGAGGAGGGGCUGGAGUUCCUGAGGA